CUCUAAAAGCUCUUUUUGAUAGGGAUCUAUUCGUAUUGUACACAUUAAAAUGGGAUUGAUGCUGAUAAUUUCAGUCUAAAUUGCAUAAAGGCUUUCUGUCAGUUGCUCUCAACCUUAGGCAAGUGAUUUUAACAACCCUGUUUUUCUUAUUAACAGAAUGGUUAAAUGUUAAAUAGUAAAGUAGAUGUGAACUUAACUGAUUGUAUAGUUCUACCCUGAAACUGCUUAGUGUGGGAACAACAUGGAUGACUUUGUUCCCUUUGCAAAGUUUGUUAUUUGAGAAUCUCCAAAUAACUUCCUCAGAAACACAUAUGGGCUUUUGGCUCUAUUGUGAAUUACCAAAAUGUUGAACAAAGCUGAAAGAUGUGGUUUAGCCCUGAAAAAUGGCCAAAUUUGAGUCUCUAUAACGGACCGAAUUUGUUUUUAGUGUCCUUAGUGCAGGCUAUAUGUAAACUGUAGUCCUUACAGGCUUUUUGGGGCUCUUAGCUGUAGUCACACUUGGAGUCAAGAAUGUCCUUCCAGUAAUUCAGGGAAUUCUAGACGCCUUGAAACUAUGAUCUAUUCAUUGAAAUUAACACAAGGAAAACCCUCACCAAAAUGAAAGCUUCAUUAAGAGAAGGCAACAACGAAAAGCAUAGGGAAUAUAGCAUAAGUCUUCAUGUGAGGUUCAACAUGGGUUUAUUGCUAGAGAGAUCCAGGGGAAUUAACCCACCAAUCUCAACUUUCCUAAUGCUUUAUUUCAGUAAUUUUUUAGAAGUAGGUCUGAGUGUUUUUCCAGACCGUCUGGUAUGUGUUUUUGUCAGGAGAGGUGAGGUCUUAAUGAGACUUCAUUUAAAGUCUGAUUAUCAACCAGAGGUUUUACUUGGUAUUACUGCCUUAUCUCAAAAUAAAAGAUUAGAAAUAAUUUGGGCGGUGGAAGUGCUAUUUCCAGAACAAAUAACAUUCAAAAGUGAUUUCGCCCCUCUAGUAGCAAUAGCUCUCAACAUCAUGGUUAGUCAAAAUUCAUUCCAAAUUAUAAGAGGCUUUCAGGGUAGGUUGGAGCGUUUAUUACAUAUUUUACUGUUCAAUGUCUUAUGGGGGCCUUUUAAUUUGUAAAUACAGAAGUGGUUGUGGGGCUGCAGAAAACAUUUAUCUUGCAAGUAAGUUUUAAAGGCAGUCCACUUUUUAGCAUGCAUGUUGUGUCCAGCCUGUGGUUGUCUUAAUUAAUAAAUGUGCUUUUUCUCCCCGGUCUCUUUUUUUUUUGCGUAUAGGCCUCUUCCCUGGGUUGGGUUUGAGUGGAAACACCUUUUAGUGUUCAAGUUUGCAAUUAAUAUGACUGCUUUCCAGCAGUACUGCUUAUUUUUUCCCCUCUUUACAAGCAUUUGUUCCUGUGCUUGUGUCCUAGACACUUACACAUGAUCAAAAAUCUAUUGAAUUAGCUCUGUUGCUAUUACCCCCUUUUCAUGAACUGCCCCUUCUUGGUUGUCCAGUGAAGUCUACUAGGUUGUCCUUUCGCCUGGACUAUUAAGUCUUUCAUGGUUUCCAUAACCACUUUUAAGGGAAUUGUGGACUCUGGGAUCAGCCAUUGUCCUGAAUUUGGGCUGUAGCACUUUUCCGCAAUCUAGUCUCUUCUGUUAAAACAGAGAUUGUACAUGUCAAGUGUCAGAUAAUCAUGGGUCACUAUUUUAAGUAGGUAGGUUUAAGUUUUGUUGGCAUGUUUUGAUGUCAAACCCUUAGAAGGGUCUUCUGGUAAAAGUUGCCUAUAUCCUGUGAGUGUGCCUCAACAUCACCUGGAGAGCCUGAUAAAAUAUGGCUGGGCCCUUUGCCGAGAGUUUCAGGUUUCUUGUGUGUUUCCCGGGUGAUGCAGAUGCUGCUGGUUUGGCACCGCCCUAUGAGAACCAUCGAAUCUGUAAGAGACUCCUGUAUUCCUCAGCCUCCCCCCACCCAGGGAGUUUUUAUUCAAGACACACAACUGCUAAUGCUAUUACCUGGAGUUGCUGUGAAGGUCUAGGUCUUUCAAAUCUACCAUAGAGGCCUUUUUCGAAAAGAACCAAGGCUUGCUUUUGUGAAUAUAAGAUUGAAAAGUGCAUUUAAAUGGUGAUUUGGUGAACACUAUUCUGACGUCUUGUACCGUGAUGCUGGAAACUAUGCCACUGGUAUUUCCAAUAUUAGCAGGGUGGUAUUUCAAAUAGCAGCGUCAAUCUGUGGUGCACACUUUUUCGGUAGAGCUUCCAGACUAGAGCAGGAAGAAAGGCCUGCUUCUGCUUCCAAAAUACACAAAAACCGCAUGGAUUACAGUAAAAGGUUGUGCCAUAUAGUGCUGGAAGAUGAGCCCCUAGGUCUUUGGAAGGUGCUCAAAAUACACAGCCACAGCAGUGGACUCUAAUCACAAAGAUUGCACAGGAGUGGGCAACGUUUCCUGCUGUAGAGUUGGAGCUGAUUCACAACAACUAGUAACAUUUUCUGGGUAAUAAAAAAAAAUCCGGGAGGGGAGGUAAAGCAGGAUAAUGAAUAGAUGGAAAUAUCCCUUAGGUACUAACGAGAACAAAAAGAAAAAAAAAGCGCAGCAAUUACGGAGAGCAAAGCUUGAGCUGCCAAACAAAAGAACAGCUAGUUAGGUGCGGAAGCACAUCGAGCCUUAUGCCGCCAUGACGGAGAGGCGCGGGCGGUCCCAGGCCUGCGUGCUGACGUACUUCCGUGGGUGGUGCCAGCUGCCGCGAGCACGCUUGUUUCCGUCGCGCCUGCGCCGUUGGUUCCCGGAGCCCUGGUACGGUUGUGGCGGUUUACUGGGAUCAGCUAACUGAAAAAGAUCGUGCGCUUUAACUCUAGGGGGAGAUGCGCUCUAGUGCAGCGGUCAGGACCUUCCGUAAAGCCUGCAGGUGCCUAUUCCCUGGGCGUGGGGGUCGCGUAGGUGGGGGGCUGCUGGAACGCUUGACGGAAAGGAGCAGCUUCCUCGGAAGACAGCUGAGGUGGUACGCGGCGCUCCCUGGGGGGAGCGAGCCGAGAGAAGCCCCCGAGUCCGGCGAGGGGAGCGAGGCACUGUUCGAGAUCUGUCAGAGAAGGCAUUUCCUCAGUGGAACCCAGCGGCAGCUGAGCCGAGAUUCUCUUCUGAGCGGGUGCCACCCGGGCUUUGGACCCUUGGGCAUAGAGUUGCGGAAGAACCUAGCCGCAGAAUGGUGGUCGUCGGUGGUGGUGUUCAGGGAGCAGGUCUUCCCGGUGGACGCCCUCCACCACGAACCAGGCCCCUCGCUGCCGGGGGACAGUGCCUUCAGGUUAGUUGCUGCAGAAACGCUCCGCGAAAUCUUGCAAGACAAAGAGCUGAGUAAGGAGCAGCUUGUAGCAUUUCUUGAGAACUUAUUAAAAACUCCUGGGAAGCUACGAGAGCACCUUCUUCACGGUGCCUUGAAGCACUAUUUGAAUUGCCUGGAUCUGGUCAACAAGAGGCUACCUUAUGGCCUUGCUCAGAUUGGAGUGUGUUUUCAUCCUGUUUCUGAUACUGAGCAGACACCUCAUGGUGUUAAAAGAAUUGGUGAGAAGACUGAAGCUUCCCUGGUAUGGUUUACUUCUGCAAGAACUGCAAGCCAGUGGCUUGAUUUCUGGCUACGUCAUCGGCUGCUCUGGUGGAGAAAGUUUGCAGUGAAUGCAUCUAACUUCAGCAGCAGUGAGUGUCAGGAUGAAGAAGGACGAAAAGGAAACCAGCUUUACUACAAUUUUCCCUGGGGAAAGGAGCCGAUAGAAACCCUGUGGAAUCUAGGAGAUCAUGAACUCUUACAUACUUUUCCUGGAAAUGUGUCUAAAUUACACGCCCGAGAUGGACGGAAAAAUGUGGUUCCUUGUGUUCUGUCCAUAAGUGGAGAUCUAGACCGAGGCAUGCUGGCUUACCUCUAUGAUUCUCUCCAGCUAACAGAGAACUCCUUUUCAAGAAAGAAACAUCUUCAUAGAAAGGUACUUAAACUUCACCCUUGUUUAGCCCCUAUUAAGGUUGCUUUGGAUGUGGGAAGAGGCCCAACAGUGGAACUAAGACAGCCCGGCUUUCGUCUCCAGCAUUCUGCUAAAGCUAGGCUUGUCAAGGUCACUGAUAACCUCUGUCUUAGUCAUAUAGUGCUGCAGUAACAGAAAUACUACACGCGGUUGGCUUUAACAAAGAGAAAUAUAUUUCCUCAGUAAAGUAGGCUAGAAGUCCAUAUUUAGGGCCUCAGCUCCAGGGUAAGGCUUUUUCUCUCUUUUGGCUCUGGAGGAAGGUCCUUCUCAUCAAUUUUCCCCUGGACUAGGAGAGGAGCUUCUCUGCGCAGGAACUCCAGGUCCAAAGGACGUGCUAUGCUCCCAGCACUGCUCUCUUGGUGGUAUGAGGUCUCCCCUCUCUGCUCUCUUCCCUAGGGAAACUCCCUUUACAUUGGAUCAAGGAUGUGACCUGAGCAAGGGUUAUUACCGUCCCACCCUAAUCCUCAUUAACAUAGUCUAAUCUUGCCUCAUUAACCAGAGGCAAAGAUUAGGAUUUACAGCACACAGGAAAAUCCUAUCAAUCACAAAAUGGAGGACAACCACACAAUAUUGGGAAUCAUGGCCUAACCAAGUUGACACAUAUUUUGGGGGGACAAAAUCCAAUCCAUGACAACCUCCAUCUUGCAAAUCAAGUGGUGAAUUCCCAGUUCUCAUCUUAGGUCACUAUCAGCAGGAUUUACACAAUCAUUCUCUUCUUUUUUAUUUUUAAUCAUUUCUCUUAUCUUAAAACACUUUCUUUAGUUGGCUUUUGGGACACUGCUUUCCUGGUUUUUCCUCAUACAUUUGUGACUUUCUCUUUAGUCUUUUUUCACUGGUUCUUCCUUCUCUUCCUGGCAUGGUAGUGUACCAUAGGGCUCAGCUCAGGACUCUUCAGAUGAGUUUGGACCUACAGGUUUUGUCUGCUAUAACCUGUUUUAGUUUUGUUUGCUGGUAUCUUGAAUGUCAAUGGUAAUAAAAAUUCUUAGGCUUGGCAUAAAGAUUUCAGAAGAUUUGCAUUUAGUAUAGGCAGUCGCCAGGUUAGGAAAGUCUGACUUAGUACAACCUAUAAUUACGAACCAAGUCCUGUAAAGCCUAUUAUAUUAAAAAUUCAAGGCGCAUACAGUGGUUUGUAAUAACAAACAAGUAUUACUUUGCCACACCCAGUUUCCCAGGACCAUGGCACCCAGCCUGGCUGCUCCCCGCCCCCACUCCCCAGCUGGGCUCGCCCCUCUGGUUGUAACCCCUCUGCCCGGCUUACCCACCCCCUACCCAGCCUUGGCUCGCUUGCCCUGGUUCCCCCCUCACUGCCCAGCUUGCUCCCAGUACACCCUCUCGGGCUUGGCCCCUGCUCCUGCCCCACUGGCCUACCAUUCCUCAGCUAGGGGUGACCCUUCAUCUCACAGCCCUGUGCCUAGGGCAGCAGCAGCUCCAGACAUUCUGAGGGACCUGAGGUGGGAGACUCACCAGUCUGUGGUUUGUCAAGGGCUAUUUAAUGAACUAUUAGAAAAUGGAAUUUCUGUGUGGCCUGGUUAUUUGGAAACUGUGCAGUCCUCAUUGGAACAACUUUA